rnacentral:lncRNA from 10 species
GCAUGGGGUGGGUAAUAGGGCAUGUGAUUUGAAUGAGUAUUCCCAGCCAUUUAAUAUAUUCACAAGUCAAACUAUAAAGUAUUUCUUUAAAAAAAUUAUAGUAUUUCACUGAAGUUUGAAUGUACUUUCUCUUGCCAAAAUAAUCAGAGUCUUUCAUUUUUCUAAUGAUAAAAAUGUGCUACAUGUGUAGGAAAAUUUCCCAAAUGAAAAAUAACAUUUUCUAUGGCAGCACAUACAGUGCUUGAAUUUUUCACCUUAGAUUUUAUUCUAGCCAGACCUAAACUCUGUCUUACUUGCAUAAUGAUAAUUCAUGUCGUCAAACCAAACGCACUGUUUGCUGCUCGUUUGUCCAGGAGCCAUCUUUUCCUAAAGUGAGCAAUAUUACGUGCAUUUUGUCUGGCUGGCCGAGGGCUCCUCCCUACAGCUUCUGCAGCCAUGGAAGAGUCUGGAAGGACAGUGUUCGCUUGUACAAGAAGAGGGAAGGAUAGGAUGAGAAAAGCAAAAUCUUGGAGAGUCUGUGGUCGGAAGAAGAAAGCUGAAGCUGGUUAGGAGGAAGGAGUGUGUGAGUGAAUUAGGAGCUGAAGCAGUAAAGUAGCUUUCCCUGUGACCCUGAUGUGUCGGGCAUUUCUGUCUUAGACUAAAAGCAUAAUAAAAAAGGCACUUUGUUUAGGUUAACAGAGCAUUAUAUAACUGGAAAGUUUUACAGUUUUAUAUAUAUAGUGAAUAGUUUGUAGAGGAUAAAAAGACUUCCCUUUGGUUUAUUAUUUGGGUAAAAUAAAAACCCACGAAUCAUUUAAGGAUGCAUUUCUUUUUCUUUUUUCUGCCUUUUUUUUUUUAAGACAAAAGCUUGAAGGCAUAAAAUGGAGUUAUUUUCAUCGGGAUAUCACCCUCGAUGCUGCUGCUUUACUACAUGUUCAUAGUCAAAAUUAUUUCAUGUUUCCCUUGAAUAACUACGAUCAGUUUGAAAACAGCUUUGUUAAUUAGUAAGAGAUGACGCAAUAUAUCACUGCAUCUUUAGGGCUCUGGCGCCAGCUAGUGGUAGGAGAGGGGAGCCGCCCUGUCGCUCUCAAAUCUGGGAAGGCGUCGGUCUUCUCGCGUCCCCUUAUCCCUCAUCCUCCUCAUUUUUUUUUUCCAUCAGCAUAAUGGGGGAAUCAUUGCAGUGUGGCCAGAGAGGAGCAGACGAGAUUAUAGAUGAAAGUAGAGAAAAACGGUGGGCAGGGGCAGGGAGAGGAAAGGCCAGACAAAUGCAAUCAUUUCUCCAAAGGAUUUGAGAAGAGAUCAUUUAUUUGAAAUAUUCCUGCCAUGUUGAUGGAGCAGCUCAAUCUUUUGCCAGUGAAUCUUUAGCGUUUUGUUUUUCAUUUGUAGAUAUGGUUGAACAUAUACUUAGGACACGUAAUAACUAUGGAACUUCAUCACAAACACAGCACUGAGGACAUGUUAAGAACUUGAUGUAUACCUCCUGACCUGUUCAUCUUGUAGCUGCCUCUUGACAGGUUGCUGACUUCGCCUGGAGGGACUCUAUCAGAUGGAAUCUCCCUCUGUCAUCCCGGCUGGAGUGCAAUGGUGCGUUCUUGGCUCACUGCAACCUCUAUCUCGCAGGCUCAAGUAAUCCUCCCACUUCAGCCUAUUGAGUAACUGGGACCACAGGUGCACACCAUCAUGCCAGGAGAAACAAAUGCCAAACAGUGAAGGUCAAGAAGGCCAUAGUGAUAUAUGCAAGUUCAAAAAGUGGAAGAAGCUUUUACACAGAGAAAUAUCAAUCAGCCAGCUUUUCAUGGCUGAUGCCUGAAAAUAUCAUCCACCUGUGUCUCUGAGCAUACUUUGGCUUUGACUCCUAGUGAUAUUACAUGUAAUGUCAUGGCUAGAUAUUUCAAUUUCAGAAACAAAUGAUUCCACUGAAUAGUAAGACAUUUGCCAACUGGACAAUAAUUCAUAAGGAGAGGGUUCAGAAACUGUAAGUUUUAUUAUGAAAAGGUAAGGAAAUCCAACCCUAGAUGGAGGUAACUUGGAAAGAAUGAUUGGUUAUUUUGUAUAACUCUAAAGGGCAUAACUAGGACUAACAAGUCAAAGCUUUCAGGAAGAAAAUUUCUAUAUAAUGUGCAGAAAUUUCAAACAGUUGAUCAGUUGCUUUUGUUAUUAUUGUUAGAGACAGGAUCUCACUAUGUUGCCCAGGCUUGAUUCUAACCUCCCCCACUGCCAACCCCCCGGCUCAAGCAAUCCUACUGCCUUAGCCUCUUGAGUAGCUGGGACUACGGGCACACACACACACACCACUGCACCAGGUAAAUUUCUAACAACUCAAAGUGUUAUAAAGGAAUAGGUCGCCUAGUAGCAUGGUCAGCGGUGUCUGUAAGACUUCUCGUCAGUCAGGCUGCGGUAUGGGAUUGAAGUGGAAGAUCACUAAGAAAUGGAGGGAAUGAAUUUCAGAAUGGGUGGGGGGUUUCAGGGUGUUGGGUCAAUAGCUGUCUUAUCAAUGGAGCUGAGAAUGAAAACCUAGGAAAAGUGACACUGGCUCUAGAAGGGAACUGGGCCAUCUGCCUUAUAGACCAUCUGCUAAUUUGUUGCUCAUUUAUUGGUGAAACUUGGGAAGGUAAUGGAUAUGUAUGAGCUCUCUCAGAACUUGCCUUGUUGCCUAAUGGAUAUCUUUGACUUUUCCAACUCCAAGUAUCUGUAAAAGUUCCUAAUUUCCUCAUAGACUUGUAAAACCACUCAAACCCACCAGGCCCUUAUUCUGUUUCCAAGAUCACCUUUCAGGUGUCACCGUGUUGACAAGUUAUUUGGAGCUCUAUUGACCUUGUCUCAUUAUUGGAACUUUUCUAAUAUCUUGAAUGCAGAUGGAAGGAAAGGAGACAAUAACAACAAAAAAUAAAACUGCAACAGCAUGAUUUAUUAUAGUAUAUAUUUCUCAGAAGAGACAAAAACAGCAUCAAUGAAGAGCAAUCAUAGAAGGUUCACAGUUGCCUCAGAACCAAUUCAACAAUUCAUAGGGGGUUGGCAUCACAUAAACAGCUGGGAAAAAGCAGUUAAAUGAUUUUCUACAUGCUCUUAGGGAGAGACUGUGUCUAAUCUGAUGCAGUUGCUCCAAAGGAGCGCAGCUAAUGACAUCUACACCAAAUAUCAGUUCAAUAAAUUGCUUCCUUUCAUUAAUCUGAGUGUCGGUGUCUGCAUUAACGGUGUUAACACAGCAGAAGGUCUAAAGGAGAGAUAAUAAGGACCUGUUUUUAGUGACAUGUGGGGGCGGCCCUGUGAAAACAAGCAAAUAUAUAACUGGUCCCUUGACUCUGGUGAAUCAAAACCAUUUCAUUUAUUCAUUCUGUCACUCCAAAAUUAUUCUUUGAGUGACUACUAUGUGCCUGGUCCUGGGCUAUGUCCUCAUGUACCAAUGGACAAAGGGCCUUCAGGGAGCUUAUAGUAGGUGGGGAGGAGGCAGAAGUCAUCACCUGCAUACAUAAUUGACUGUGAUGAGGGAUAAGAAGGGAAAGUAUGCAUUACUUUGAAAAAAUGCAACAGGGGAAUACCUUUAGAUGGAGACUGACCAUCUUUCUAGAAAAAUCAGGGCUUUAGGCUAGAAGAGCUUGUAGUGUAUGGGCGAUUAUGACUCCUCUGGGAGUCUAGGCGUACAUGAACAGUGUGCGUUUACUAUCAAAUCUGUAUGUGACUAUGUUUUGCAGUGGGCAGGCCUAAACAAACUUACCCCCCUCCCUCCCCAAGGCCAAGGAAGCUGAGAGGCCAAAGAUAAAAGCUAACAUAUCCAGUCUCUUAGAAAUAAGCAUUCAAUAGGGACUUGGCAAACAGAAGCCAUGUCUCUAUCUCAGGUGGCAGUGAGACAAGAUGGUGGAUCCCUACACCAUUACCCCUCAGACGCAGGGCUUAUAUGGUAUAGGGAAAGGGUGAUUCAGAAAGGAUGCAUAGGACAAUUGAAGUGCGAUAACAUCAAGACUGUUUGGCUUAAGGGCAGGAUUUACAGUAAGUAUCUGUUCUUACACAAGGAGCAAUAGAUAAACUGGAAAUUGUAGAGGCCUUCCCAGAGCUGGAUUUAAUCAGAAGCCAACAUGGAAGAUGAGCAUCCAAGAUGGAGUUGCUUUGGUCUCCACAAACUGUAUUGGGAAAAUACAACUUUCCUUACCCUGAUUAUUAUACAUUAUGGUUAGGUGCUUAUAAAUGAAGAUAAUGACCAUUUCUGUAAUCGGCAAUGUACUGUAAAUGAGAUGGAAGCACAGUGUAUCUCUGGGCAAGGUGUGUAAUAGUAAGGCCUUCCCUUUCCUUCCACCCUCAAGGCUUGGGUGGAUUAAGAAUCUCUGGUCACUAUGGCACCUUAUGACCAUUGAUGAGCAUCACUUCAAGAAAGAACUAGGACUGUCUCUGGACAGAGCAUUUUUUCUUUGAACUCUGGUGUCUGUGAGCUGGCUCACCUGAUUCGGGCGCUCUGUGGCUUCCAAGAUUCAUCUUGAGAAUCACAUCAAAAGUCCUGAAACUGACUGACCAUCAGGGGAUGCAGAAGAGAGAAGGGUGCCCUGGCUAAGCACUGGCUGCAAUGCUGGUCCAAGGGGGAGAAACUACAUGGCCAAGAAAAUGCAGCUCACUCGUGGGAAUGUCAUAGCACCUGGAGGAACUCAUAAAAUAGCAUAGGAAUAUGCCUAUACCAUUUCUGCUUCUAUUUCAUUGAGGGAGUGAAUAUGAUAAGAUGUCAUCAGGUGACUGAAUGUAUCGUUAGCAUUCUCCUCCUUAUUGAUUACAUUUAUUGAAAUCUUGUAUGUCAGGCACUGUUUUAAGCUCUGUCAUCCAUCUGUCUGUCUAAAACCUCAUUAAAUUGUCACAACUGAUUGCCAAAUGUAACUCUUCAAAACAGGAAUAUUCUAAUUUAUUUUUCUUAUAACUGGGAAGAUAUUUUUAAGUUUCCAAAAAGAAAGAGUUAAUGUUUUUAAUAAAAGGUGUUCCCAUUCCCUG